ensembl:lncRNA
GGCGGGGCUCCUGGAGGGCGGGGCUUUGGGGCCCUGGAGGGCGGGGCUUGGGCCCGGGAGGGCGGGGCUUGGGGCCCGGGAGGGCGGGGCUUGGGGGGCCGGGGGGGGCUGGGGCACGGAGCAAGGCGCAGAGCUGGGAGAACAAAGUCCAGACCUUUAUAAAUCGGCGCUGAUUAACCGGGGAAAUCCUGGCAUUGGGGGAGCGGGGAAGGUGGAAUUGAGGGGUCAUGUAUUCCAGGCCUGGGGCACAGCCGGGCUAACGGGGGCGGGCUGGCUCACGCAGGGCCGGGGAGAGGGCCGCAUUCCCGGCGCGCCGCUUGUUUACCCCCGGCCGGUGAUGGACGAGUCCCUUAGCCUGCCCCGGCCUCCGUUUCCACCUGUGUAAGAGCGAGGGUCCGAGGUCCCCUCCCCGCCGCCACCCGCAGCGACCUCGGGCCUCCGCGAGGCGGCCUCGGCCUGCCCGAACUGGCCCCGCCUCAGAGCACCACGGGGAGGGGGCCUUGGUGACAAACUCCCGAGCGCGCGCUCACAUCCGCGGGGCCUGUCCCGGGGCUCCCCGCCCCUCCCCCGCCGGCUCCCCCGCGGGCCCGCGCCGGGCGAGGACGUCGCUGGGGGAGCCAUCUCCCGGGGCUUCGCGCCCUUGGAGCCUUCCAGGGCGGCGGCUGGCCCGAGGCCCCCCGGGCGGAGCGGGCCCCGUCCUGGGCCGGGGGCUCCCGUUUUUACUGCAGAGCGUCCUCGCUCCCCUCCAGGUCCCCUUUUCUGGGAAAGCUGGAGCCGGGCGGCGCCUGCGCGGGGUCUCCCCUCCCUCCAUCAUUGUCUCCUCGCGCUCCCAGGAGCUGGGACUUCCUCCCGUCACGGCCGUGCCCCGGAUCUCAGCCCCCCCCACCUUGUUUGGCUUGAUGGUCCUCCCCGCGGCCGCCCCCUCCCCGGCCCCCCAGGCGCGUCUGGGCCUCGAGGGCCCCUGCAGAGCCUGCCUGGGUCUGGGCGCCCUGCUCUUACGCCCAAACCGGGAAGGGCUCUCUACCCCCCCCCCGCACCCCGGGGGACCCUUCCCAGCCUGGCCCCAGACCCCCCUCCCGGGUAAUCGCCGCCUUUCCUAACGGCCAGGGCCCCUGACCUUCCUUUCUUAUCCACUUUGACCUCUGGAAUCUCCGACCCCCUCCCCCGCUCGGGCCCAGACUCUCCCUCCCAUUGUUUUCCAGAAACGUUUCUAUCCGGUCUCCCACUUACCUGUCAGGUGGGGGGUGGUCCUUCUCCCUCCCCUCCCCCUCUCGGCCACCGCAGGAGUCCACCUGCCCACAUCUCCCUGGGGAGGAGGCUCCCCCAGGCCUCCAGGUGUGCCCUGGGCCGCAGGAGUCCGGGGUCUGCGCUAAGGGGCUGCUUCCCGCGGAUCUCGCUGAAUUCUCUCCCCCUCCCAGGCUCUCCUGCUUCCACACUCGCAGGGACCGACUUCGCUGCCUUUGGCCUUCCUGAAGCAUGCGUCAAUGCUGGGACCUUGGGGAAGGGAGAUGGAUGAUUUACUUCUGAACUGAAUUCCCCCCCAUGAUGCGCCAUGACAUCUCUUAGCGUUGCUUUAGAAACUUUUCGAGUCCCAGAUGCUCUCCCUUCCCCCCCACUCUUCUCAUUGGGAAGCCGAGCCGUCUGAUACAGGUUACACACGUCCAGUUGUGCAAGACUGAUUUCUAUGCAGGCCACAUUGUGUAAGAAGAAAAUGCAGAUUAAAAAAACCAAGGAAAGUAAAGAAAAUGAAGGUGCUUUCAGGCUAAUAGCACGUCAUCUUUCUGUACAGCAAAAUAACUUAAGACAUGUAUGCUUAUAUUAUAUUUAUACUUUAACAUAUUUAACAUGUAUCGGUUAACCUGC